AUUGAACGCUGGCGGCAUGCCUUACACAUGCAAGUCGAACGGCAGCACGGGGGCAACCCUGGUGGCGAGUGGCGAACGGGUGAGUAAUGCAUCGGAACGUGCCCAGUAGUGGGGGAUAACUAGUCGAAAGAUUAGCUAAUACCGCAUACGACCCAUGGGUGAAAGCGGGGGACCUUUACCGGCCUCGCGCUAUCGGAGCGGCCGAUGUCUGAUUAGCUAGUUGGCGGGGUAAAGCC
rnacentral:rRNA from 1 species